UACGAGGGGGGCGAGCGUUGUUCGGAAUUAUUGGGCGUAAAGGGCGCGUAGGCGGUUCGACAAGUUGGAUGUGAAAGCCCAGGGCUCAACCCUGGAAUUGCAUUCAAGACUGUUUUACUUGAAUUCGGUAGAGGUGAGUGGAAUUCCCAGUGUAGAGGUGAAAUUCGUAGAGAUUGGGAAGAACACCGGUGGCGAAGGCGGCUCACUGGACCGACAUUGACGCUGAGGCGCGAAAGCGUGGGGAGCAAACAGG
rnacentral:rRNA from 1 species